GCGCGUCCCAACCUUCCCAAAUCGCGGUCUCAGCUCUGCUCCGCCCUCGCCCACCCGCCCGUUUCGCAUGCCCCCAAAUCCACCGUGGUCGCGCCGCCGUAGCAGCAGCACCACCCUGUCAUCGGCGGCAGGAGGAACAGCAACAACGAGGAGGCGUUUCAGGAGGUGGACCCGACCGGGCGGUUCGGGCGGUACGCGGCCAUGCCGGGAUGGGCUCCGUCAAGAAGGUUCGACCAGGAGGAGUGCAUCGAGGUGGCGUGGAACCGGGUGCGCCUGCGCGCGCUGGACCCCUCCAUGGUCGACCGCCGCCAUGCCGAGGUGCGCCUUCUCCGCUCCCUCCAUCGUGACCACAUCAUAGGCUUCCACGAGGUCUGGCUCGACCACGACGCUGGCGUGCUGAACUUCAUCACCGAGGUCUGCAACUUGGCGAGCCUCCGCGAGUAUUUCGACCGCCACAAGCACGUCUCCGUCAGAGCGCUCAAGAAGUGGGCGCUCCUUGAGGGCCUUGACCACCUCCACACCCGCGACCCCUGCAUCAUCCACCGCGACCGUACUUGCAGCAACGUCUUCAGCAACGGCAACACCGGCCAUGUAAUACCUGCGCCAAUCAAUCUCGCUCGCCUAGCUAAUUGCCUAUCCUCGCACACUUCUUGGUUCGAACAGCCUCAACGGCGACGAGGACAACAGUAGGAUCUAACACUUGGCAGAGAUCGUGAAUUUUCUCGGUAUCAUGCAAAGCGAUUCAGAUUCAGCGGGCGCCAUCUUUUGUGGUGUUGCAUGCCAGAGGCAGGCAAUUGGAGCUUCUCCGUCUAAUUGUUAACUUGGUGGAAGCUAGCUGCUAUACUAAAAACCUAGAGUGGAGUGUCGUUGAUGAGCAGUUAGAAAGGAUGUACAACUUGUAGAUUCCAUUGCCAUACAUUACCUGACAAAUUGCUCCCUCGCAGUGUCGUUGAUGAGCAGUUAGAAAGGAUGUACAACUUGUAGAUUCCAUUGCAGAGAAACAUGCAUAGAUUUUUUUCAGAAGAGUGCAAGUCUUUUCCUGCUACUGUCCAAAUACAACCAAUUUACCCCCUCCAAAUCAGGAGCUUGGAUGAUGUCAGGUUGAAUCUUGAGUUUCUCAAGUACUUGUGAUGAAUAGUUCAGUGAAAUGUACAAAGGGAUAACCUUGGAUGCAGUGGUGGAGCAUAGGCGGGACACUACUGCUCCUUGCCCCCACCUCCCUUCCUAGAGGAAAUUUUACCAAAUAUGCUUAUAUUUCUGCUAAUCGUUCUACUAACCCUCCGGUGUCUCUGAUCACCCUAGCCUUUUUAUGUCAUACACUCAUUUUGGCCCCUCCUAAUAUCUGGUUCAUGCUCCCCCACAGCUUGGAUUGUGAAGACUUGCUUAGUCCAUCCUUUUGCUUUGCUUACUAAUGAUGCCCCAAGAUGCAAAAUACUAAUUAGUUUUCUUUAUGUGUGUGCUACAUUUUAGAUGCAAUUGCUGAUCAACAUCUUUGGCUUCACGGUUAUUCAUGGAAACUGGAUGUGGCAAUGAAACAAAAGGAGUUGCACUGGUUGGGACUUGGGAGGCAUGGAUAGUUCAAGUACUAUCUGGGAUACUACUUACAUUGCUAAUAAGUUAACGUCUGGUCCUAAUACUAGGAUUCCCAGCUAUCUUAGUUUCAAGCCCUGUAUGCUUAUUUGAUUGAAGGUGGAAGUGGGACUCCUUUUGGUGCUUAAGUAAUAACUCAAUGAUAGCGGGAACUAGUUGAAUUAUCAAUAUACAUUUGGGCAUAGAGCAUGACGAUGUAUGAAACUUCUGAACACUUUCAGGUUGUCGGACAAACUGCAACUAUGAACAGUAUGCCUCAUUUGACUCUUGUGGGGGUAGAGCAAUAAAAUAAACAUGUCAUCACUAGGCGAGUUCAAACACUGGAUGGCAAGGCGGUCAUCUAUUUGAAUACACUUAAUCGUUUCAAGGAGGUAGAAGGCGGUGCAGAAGCUGCAGUUUUGACCCCACUUGUGCUAGACAAUUUUUUUUCGGAGAUUUGUGCCAGCCAAUUUGGGUAUGAGUGAUGCUCACGGAGGCCAUUCUACGUAGCUGAUGGACUGUCAUGUCUAUAUAAUUUUUAUAUAGCUGACAAUUCAAUCAUGAAAUGCUAGGGCUCCAUGGAAGGAAAAGGAAAAUGCGUCUGCAAAAUCAGUAUAUUUUGUGAUGGAAGUAUUGGUAGAUUUGAUAUUAUCUUACAACCUAUAAGAACACCGAAUGUGUGAAACAACAUUUGUUAUUGUCCAGCAACGCGACCACAAAUCCACAAUGAUUGCAACACUGUAUUUAUUUGACCAUAUAUUUUUGGAAUAUUCCAUGUUUUGUUUAUAUA